rnacentral:lncRNA from 10 species
UGCGCACCCCCAUGCCCAGCUAAUUUUUGUAUUUUUUGUAGAGUAGGGGGUUUUCCAUGUUGCCCAGGCUGGCCUUCUGUACUUUUUGAAUUUUGAAAUAUAUCUAUACUUAACUGAUUUUUUUUCUUUUCUUUUUUUUUUUGUUUUUUUUGUUUUUUUUGUUUUUUUGAGACAGGGACUCUCUUGCCCAGGCUGGAGUGCAGUAGUACAAUCUCAGCUCACUGCAACUUUUGCCUCCCGGGUUCAAGUGAUCCUCUCACCUCAGCCUCCUGAGUAGCUGGGACUACAGGCGCACACCACCAUGCCUGGCUAAUUUUUGUAUCUUUUUGAUAGAGAUGGGGUUUCACCAUCUUGGACAGGCUGGUCUCGAACUCCUGAGUUCAAGUGAUCUGCCCGCUGUUAGGUCUAUGACUACGCCAAUUGUCAUGCUGAGGUCUGAGGGAAGUGGGUGGAUGAGCAGAAAGAAUACUCAGGAGGCCGUAGGCAGGUGAAAGAUUAUUUUAUUCAGCAGCAACUUUCAUUAACAACUUUCUCACACUAUCCUCCCUGUCUCAGCUGCUUAGUACAACGGCUCUCACACGCAGCUGCACACAGCUGGCUCUCCCUUGCCUUCAGGGUUAGCGGCUUAACUCUUUCUCUCUCUGGGCACGAGCGAGCUGAGCUGUGUCCUGGCUCCCUCCUGUCCAUCUCAAGAUGGACAGCUUUGACUCUCUCUCUUUCUCUGGGUGUGAGCACCUGUACAGUGUCAGCAGGGCAAUUAUACCUUUACAGACCAUAGUGGCGUAGGGCCAAGGGAGGGCUUUCCCAUGUUAUGGCUAUAUGGCUGUGAUAAUAUGUAGAGUUAUACACCUGCGAGUUAUGCAGGAUGUAAACAUCCUACCUCGGCCUAUCCUUGACCAACACACAGCCACGUUCUUUAUACCCUCCUUGGCCUCCCAAAGUGCUGGGAUUAUAGGCGUGAGCCACUGAACCGAGCAGUAACUGAUUUUUUUUUUUUUUCCCUGGGCAAAACCUUUACUGUUGUUUUCACAGAAGGCAUGGGUGAAACAGAGUAAGCAGCCGAGCAGGCUGAGGAUUGGAUAGUUUCUUUUUUUUUUUUUUUUCUUUUUUAUUUUUUUUUAUUGAUCAUUCUUGGGUGUUUCUCGCAGAGGGGGAUUUGGCAGGGUCAUAGGACAAUAGUGGAGGGAAGGUCAGCAGAUAAACAAGUGAACAAAGGUCUCUGGUUUUCCUAGGCAGAGGACCCUGCGGCCUUCCGCAGUGUUUGUGUCCCGGGGUACUUGAGAUUAGGGAGUGGUGAUGACUUUUAACGAGCAUGCUGCCUUCAAGCAUCUGUUUAACAAAGCACAUCUUGCACCGCCCUUAAUCCAUUUAACCCUGAGUGGACACAGCACAUGUUUCAGAGAGCACAGGGUUGGGGGUAAGGUCACAGAUCAACAGGAUCCCAAGGCAGAAUAAUUUUUCUUAGUACAGAACAAAAUGAGAAGUCUCCCAUGUCUACCUCUUUCUACACAGACACGGCAACCAUCCAACCUCUCAGUCUUUUCCCCACCUUUCCCCACUUUCCGUUCCACAAAACCGCCAUUGUCAUCAUGGCCCGUUCUCAAUGAGCUGCUGGGCACACCUCCCAGACGGGGUGGCGGCCGGGCAGAGGGGCUCCUCACUUCCCAGUAGGGGCGGCC